rnacentral:tRNA from 1 species
GAAGGAUUAGUUAAACAAAUAACAUUAGAAUGUCAAACUAAAAUUAUCGAAUAGAUAUCCUUCU